AGAGUUUGAUCCUGGCUCAGGAUGAACGCUGGCGGCGUGCUUAACACAUGCAAGUCGAACGAUCGCAAGAUAGUGGCGCACGGGUGAGGAACACGUAGCUAACCUGCCUUUGGGUCUGGGAUAACGUCGCGAAAGUGACGCUAAGACCGGAUAAGCUCCCGGGUUGUAGAGACCAGAGAGAAAAGGGGCAAGACGCCCGAAGAGGGGGCUGCGGCGCAUCAGCUAGUUGGUGGGGUAAAGGCCUACCCAAGGCAACGACGCGUAAGGGGUCUGAGAGGAUGAUCCCUCACACUGGGACUGAGACACGGCCCAGACUCCUACGGGAGGCAGCAGUGAGGAAUAUUGCACAAUGGGGGCAACCCCUGAUGCAGCGACGCCGCGUGGGUGAUGACGGCCUUCGGGUUGUAAAGCCCUUUUGCCAUUGACGAGAACGGACGGUAGAUGGCGAAUAAGCCUCGGCUAACUACGUGCCAGCAGCCGCGGUAAAACGUAGGAGGCGAGCGUUAUCCGGAGUUACUGGGCGUAAAGCGUGCGCAGGCGGUGCCAUAAGUCAGGUGUGAAAGGUUCCGGCUCAACCGGGAAAACGCGCUUGAGACUGUGGGACUAGAGUGGGAUAGAGGGACGUGGAAUUCCGGGUGGAGCGGUGAAAUGUGUAGAGAUCCGGAGGAACACCAGAGGCGCAAGCGGCGUCCUGGGUCCCAACUGACGCUGAGGCACGAAAGCUUGGGGAGCGAACGGGAUUAGAGACCCCGGUAGUCCAAGCCGUAAACGAUGCAGACUCGGUGUCCACUCUCCAAGGGAGGGGGCGCCACAGCUAACGCGAUAAGUCUGCCGCCUGGGGAGUACGGUCGCAAGGCUAAAACUCAAAGGAAUUGACGG
rnacentral:rRNA from 1 species